ACGGGAUAUGCUACGGUGGUUUGUAACCAUUUUAUUUUUUUCUUCCAAAUAUUGUAUGCUAUUUUGUUGCAGAGUUGUUGGUAUCAGAGAAGACAUCACUUGAUGUUAUAUUAUCAGAUUCAAGACUAGGAAAGGUUAAUCCAGUAGUAUUUGUAUCCUCCUCUGCAUCUAUACAUCUUGCAUUAUUUGAAUCCAACGCAGACCCACCAACUACACUGGUAUAUCGAGGACCUCGGAAUGAUACCUCAGGAUACGUAUAUUCCCUACCAGGAUCGGUUUCUUCCUUCUCAGCAUCAGCAUCCUCUUGCAGUUGCAAUGCAAACUCAAGAUUUUCCAUGACAUCGUGCAUGGAGGGCCUUUCAAUCCCAUUAUCACGUACACAACUUUCUGCAAUCUCCACAAACUUAUUAAAGCACUCAGGAGAUACUUUUCCCAUUAAAUAGGGAUCAAUUGUUUGAUAAAUGGUUCCAUUCUGGAUGCAUUUUCGUGCCCAAUUUGCCAGAUUCCAUUGUUCCUCUUCCAACUUUUGAUUGAGAGGUUUUCUGGCACAUAAUACUUCAAACAACACCACACCAAAUGAAUAUACAUCAGAUUUUUCUGUCAACUGCCGGCGUCGAGCAUAUUCUGGAUCCAAAUAUCCCCAUGUGCCUUUUACUACGGUACUCACUGCUGUGCUAUUCACCCCUAUUUUGGACAAUCCAAAGUCUGAGACUUUUGCAACCCAAUUUUCGUCUAACAAAAUAUUGGUUGUCUUGAUGUCUCGAUGGAUUACUGUAUUCACGGCACCAGCAUGAAGGUAGUGCAAACCACGCGCUGCACCAAUGCAUAUCUCGAGUCUUUUUUUCCAUGGAAGGACAUCGUUAUCGGUUUCGUACAGAUGCUGUCGAAGAGUCCCGUUGAUCAUAUAGUCAUACACUAGAAUCAUUUCUCCUCCUUCAUGACAAUAUCCGAUUAGAGGGACAAGAUGGACAUGGCGGAGCUGGGACAGCAUCUCAAUCUCUGUCUUGAAUUCUUGGGCACCUUGGCUGGACUCUGGUUUCAAGCGCUUGAUGGCUACGACCAUGGCUCCGUCAUCAAGAUCACCUCUGUAAACAUUGCCAAAGCCACCGACACCGAUGACCAAGCUCUCAUGGAAGUUGUUUGUUGCGGCUUUAAUGUCAACUAGUGAAAAGUGGCGGCAUAGUUCUUUCGGCAGUGAAGAAGCUUUUGUCCUUGAUGACUGCCCUGUAGAAGGGUUCAACCACCGCCAACAGCUUAAUGAUUUAUGGUAAGAACAAUAAUGCUUCCUCUUUCUCUGUUGCCGAAUAUAUAUGUACCAAAACAAAGAAAGUAUUGUGAGCAAUCCCACAACACUCCCACUAACAGCGAUCAAUAACGUUUUCUUGUUGCUGGACUUCUUGGUUGGCAGCCAUGGCUGAGCCGAUGCUGGUUCUGGUGCUGGAGCUGGAGGGACAUAAUUGUGAAAGGCAAGACUGCCCUCAGAGUUGUUCAACUUGAAAACUUCCAUCCCGUUCAAGAUAACAUCAUCGUAAUAAGACGCAUUAGGAUGAAGAGAUAUGUAAAGAUAAUAAUCGUCAGUCUCUUCUUUACUCCCAACGGCUACCAUGUAGUCAUUGUAGAUGGGAACCCGUAUGCCGCCGCUUGAUUCAAAAACAUCAAAGUCCAAUUGAGCAGUCUGAUUGUCUAUGAAGAUACUGAAUCGCCUAUCAUUCACUCUUGUAAUGACAUGCUCAAGAAAUUCGCAAAAAUGGAGCCUUAUCAGAUACAUAAAUCCUUGAUCGACAGACACCACCCACGUCAAAUUUCUCAACAAGUUGUAUGUUUUGUUUGGUCCUAAUGAUCGAGCAGUCCUGUAGACAUCAUCUGGUGCUGUGUAGCGUGAUAUUUUUGAAUAAUUGGGAGAAAAAUUCAAUUCUCUGUAAACGACACCAGCCCAAGCAAGAAAAUGAAUAUCGUCCUCCCAUAAUCUAAACAUGCCAUUAUCUUUUACUGGUAAUAUGGCGCCUCCUCCAACAUUAAACCUGUACAUCUUCUCGAGAGCGGUGCCAUUUCGGACAUAGAACCGCCGCUUUUGGCCAACAUAAUUGAGGCCUAGGCCAGCCGGUGGAGUGUAGUAAAGAUUGGUUGGCAUUGAUACAAUCUCUAUUCCAUUAAUGAAAGCGUACGAGCCAUUUGAAUUUCCUAGAGAGGGAGCGAACGUUAUAUUCAGUUUCUGGUCCUUCUCAACAUUUAUGCAGUAUUCUUUAAUGAAGGUGUUAGUGUUCCAACCACGAGCAUAAAAAGUAGCACUGAAAUUCCUGAGUAAAGUGUAAGGCCCCGCUUUGACAUCGAAGAAGUCC
rnacentral:misc_RNA from 1 species